CCUACGGGAGGCUGCAGUGGGGAAUAUUGGACAAUGGGGGGAACCCUGAUCCAGCCAUGCCGCGUGUGUGAAGAAGGCCCUCGGGUUGUAAAGCACUUUCAGUGAGGAAGAACGCCUGGUGGUUAAUACCCAUCAGGAAAGACAUCACUCACAGAAGAAGCACCGGCUAACUCCGUGCCAGCAGCCGCGGUAAUACGGAGGGUGCGAGCGUUAAUCGGAAUUACUGGGCGUAAAGCGCGCGUAGGUGGCUUGAUAAGCCGGUUGUGAAAGCCCCGGGCUCAACCUGGGAACGGCAUCCGGAACUGUCAAGCUAGAGUGCAGGAGAGGAAGGUAGAAUUCCCGGUGUAGCGAUGAAAUGCGUAGAGAUCGGGAGGAAUACCAGUGGCGAAGGCGGCCUUCUGGACUGACACUGACACUGAGGUGCGAAAGCGUGGGUAGCAAACAGGAUUAGAUACCCUAGUAGUC
rnacentral:rRNA from 1 species